CGCUAGCUACAGGCUUAACACAUGCAAGUCGAGGGGAAACGACAUCGAAAGCUUGCUUUUGAUGGGCGUCGACCGGCGCACGGGUGAGUAACGCGUAUCCAACCUGCCCACCACUUGGGGAUAACCUUGCGAAAGUAAGACCAAUACCCAAUGAUAUCUCUAGAAGACAUCUGAAAGAGAUUAAAGAUUUAUCGGUGAUGGAUGGGGAUGCGUCUGAUUAGCUUGUUGGCGGGGUAACGGCCCACCAAGGCAACGAUCAGUAGGGGUUCUGAGAGGAAGGUCCCCCACAUUGGAACUGAGACACGGUCCAAACUCCUACGGGAGGCAGCAGUGAGGAAUAUUGGUCAAUGGACGAGAGUCUGAACCAGCCAAGUAGCGUGCAGGAUGACGGCCCUAUGGGUUGUAAACUGCUUUUAUAAGGGAAUAAAGUGAGUCUCGUGAGACUUUUUGCAUGUACCUUAUGAAUAAGGACCGGCUAAUUCCGUGCCAGCAGCCGCGGUAAUACGGAAGGUCCGGGCGUUAUCCGGAUUUAUUGGGUUUAAAGGGAGCGUAGGCCGGAGAUUAAGCGUGUUGUGAAAUGUAGACGCUCAACGUCUGCACUGCAGCGCGAACUGGUUUCCUUGAGUACGCACAAAGUGGGCGGAAUUCGUGGUGUAGCGGUGAAAUGCUUAGAUAUCACGAAGAACUCCGAUUGCGAAGGCAGCUCACUGGAGCGCAACUGACGCUGAAGCUCGAAAGUGCGGGUAUCGAACAGGAUUAGAUACCCUGGUAGUCCGCACGGUAAACGAUGGAUGCCCGCUGUUGGUCUGAAUAGGUCAGCGGCCAAGCGAAAGCAUUAAGCAUCCCACCUGGGGAGUACGCCGGCAACGGUGAAACUCAAAGGAAUUGACGG
rnacentral:rRNA from 1 species